UGAAGAAGCGCAUACGGUGGAUGCCUUGGCAGUCAGAGGCGAUGAAAGACGUGGUAGCCUGCGAAAAGCUUUGGGGAGUCGGCAAACAGACUGUGAUCCAGAGAUCUCUGAAUGGGGGAACCCACCCGGCAUAAGCCGGGUAUCUUGUACUGAAUCCAUAGGUGCAAGAGGCGAACCAGGGGAACUGAAACAUCUAAGUACCCUGAGGAAAAGAAAUCAACCGAGAUUCCCUAAGUAGUGGCGAGCGAACGGGGACUAGCCCUUAAGUUGAUUUGAGUGUAGUGGAAGGCUCUGGAAAGUGCCGCCGUAGUGGGUGAUAGCCCCGUACACGAAACGCUCUUAUCAAUGAAAUCGAGUAGGACGGGGCACGAGAAACCUUGUCUGAACAUGGGGGGACCAUCCUCCAAGGCUAAAUACUACUGACUGACCGAUAGUGAACCAGUACCGUGAGGGAAAGGCGAAAAGAACCCCGGAGAGGGGAGUGAAAUAGAACCUGAAACCGUAUGCGUACAAGCAGUGGGAGCCUACUUUGUUGGGUGACUGCGUACCUUUUGUAUAAUGGGUCAGCGACUUAUAUUCAGUGGCGAGCUUAACCGAAUAGGGGAGGCGUAGCGAAAGCGAGUCUUAAUAGGGCGCUUUAGUCGCUGGGUAUAGACCCGAAACCGGGCGAUCUAUCCAUGGGCAGGUUGAAGGUUAGGUAACACUGACUGGAGGACCGAACCGACUACCUUUGAAAAGUUAGCGGAUGACCUGUGGAUCGGAGUGAAAGGCUAAUCAAGCUCGGAGAUAGCUGGUUCUCCUCGAAAGCUAUUUAGGUAGCGCCUCGUGUAUCACUGCUGGGGGUAGAGCACUGUUUCGGCUAGGGGGUCAUCCCGACUUACCAAACCGAUGCAAACUCCGAAUACCAGCAAGUGUCAGCACGGGAGACACACGGCGGGUGCUAACGUCCGUCGUGAAAAGGGAAACAACCCAGACCGUCAGCUAAGGUCCCAAAGUUAUGGUUAAGUGGGAAACGAUGUGGGAAGGCUUAGACAGCUAGGAGGUUGGCUUAGAAGCAGCCAUCCUUUAAAGAAAGCGUAAUAGCUCACUAGUCGAGUCGGCCUGCGCGGAAGAUGUAACGGGGCUCAAACCAUACACCGAAGCUACGGGUUCAUCCUUUGGAUGAGCGGUAGAGGAGCGUUCUGUAAGCCUGUGAAGGUGAGUUGAGAAGCUUGCUGGAGGUAUCAGAAGUGCGAAUGCUGACAUGAGUAACGACAAUGCGAGUGAAAAACUCGCACGCCGAAAGACCAAGGUUUCCUGCGCAACGUUAAUCGACGCAGGGUUAGUCGGCCCCUAAGGCGAGGCAGAAAUGCGUAGUCGAUGGGAAACGGGUUAAUAUUCCCGUACUUCUAGUUACUGCGAUGGAGGGACGGAGAAGGCUAGGCCAGCACGGCGUUGGUUGUCCGUGUUUAAGGUGGUAGGCUGAGAUCUUAGGUAAAUCCGGGAUCUUAAGGCCGAGAGCUGAUGACGAGCGUUCUUUUAGAAUGCGAAGUGGUUGAUGCCAUGCUUCCAGGAAAAGCUUCUAAGCUUCAGGUAACUAGGAACCGUACCCCAAACCGACACAGGUGGUUAGGUAGAGAAUACCAAGGCGCUUGAGAGAACUCGGGUGAAGGAACUAGGCAAAAUGGCACCGUAACUUCGGGAGAAGGUGCGCCGGUGAGGGUGAAGUAUUUACUACGUAAGCCCAUGCCGGUCGAAGAUACCAGGCCGCUGCGACUGUUUAUUAAAAACACAGCACUCUGCAAACACGAAAGUGGACGUAUAGGGUGUGACGCCUGCCCGGUGCCGGAAGGUUAAUUGAUGGGGUUAGCGCAAGCGAAGCUCUUGAUCGAAGCCCCGGUAAACGGCGGCCGUAACUAUGACGGUCCUAAGGUAGCGAAGUUCCUUGUCGGGUAAGUUCCGACCUGCAUGAAAGGCG
rnacentral:rRNA from 1 species